GAUGAACGCUGGCGGCGUGCCUAACACAUGCAAGUCGAGCGAUUUACUUCGGUAAAGAGCGGCGGACGGGUGAGUAACGCGUGGGUAACCUGCCCUGUACACACGGAUAACAUACCGAAAGGUAUGCUAAUACGAGAUAAUAUGCUUUUAUCGCAUGGUAGAAGUAUCAAAGCUUUUGCGGUACAGGAUGGACCCGCGUCUGAUUAGCUAGUUGGUGAGGUAACGGCUCACCAAGGCGACGAUCAGUAGCCGACCUGAGAGGGUGAUCGGCUACAUUGGAACUGAGACACGGUCCAAACUCCUACGGGAGGCAGCAGUGGGGAAUAUUGCACAAUGGGCGAAAGCCUGAUGCAGCAACGCCGCGUGAGCGAUGAAGGCCUUCGGGUCGUAAAGCUCUGUCCUCAAGGAAGAUAAUGACGGUACUUGAGGAGGAAGCCCCGGCGAACUACGG
rnacentral:rRNA from 1 species